GAUGAACGCUAGCGAUAGGCUUAACACAUGCAAGUCGAGGGGCAGCAUGGUCUUAGCUUGCUAAGACUGAUGGCGACCGGCGCACGGGUGCGUAACGCGUAUGCAACUUGCCUCACAGAGGGGGAUAACCCGUCGAAAGACGGACUAAUACCGCGUACACUCUAUUUUGGGCAUCCAAGGUAGAGGAAAUGAAAUUCGCUGUGAGAUAGGCAUGCGUCCCAUUAGCUAGUUGGUGAGGUAACGGCUCACCAAGGCGACGAUGGGUAGGGGAACUGAGAGGUUGAACCCCCACACUGGUACUGAGACACGGACCAGACGCCUACGGGAGGCAGCAGUGAGGAAUAUUGGUCAAUGGGCGAGAGCCUGAACCAGCCAAGUCGCGUGAAGGAUGACUGUCUUAUGGAUUGUAAACUUCUUUUGUAGGGGAAUAAAGAGGGGCACGUGUGCCCCAGUGAAUGUACCCUACGAAUAAGCAUCGGCUAACUCCGUG
rnacentral:rRNA from 1 species